rnacentral:lncRNA from 1 species
UACCAGUCAAAGAUUCUCAAACAGUUCUAAAAGCAUGCAAACAUGCUAGAGGACCUUGUCGAGCACUCAGGUUCAAUCCCUGGCACCACAGAAACCAAAGUGUGGUGACACACACCUAUAAUCCAGACCUUGAGAGGCAGAAGGCUCAGGAAUUCAGUCUCACGGCUAUCGUAGUCCCAGGCCAGCCCGGGCUGAAAAUCCUGUCUCAAUAAAUAAAUAAAUAUGAGCUAAACCAUCUUUUAUUCAGCAGAAGCCAAGGCACUUCCAGCUUAGCUUCUAAGUUCAGGUGAGUGUGUGAGUGGGACCCUUUUAAAACCAGGGGAGUCCUGUGAACAUUCCCGCUCCAAGCACAGGUGACAUGUCUGUAACACUUUACACUGUGUGGUUUUUGUUAAAAUGUAUACAUGAUGAAGGGCCUGGAGAGAUGUCUCAGCAAUUCAGAGCACUGGCUGCUCUUCCAGAGGACCAGAGUUCAGUUCCCAGCAUGUACAUGGUGGUUGACAUGUGAUGCCCUCUGCUGACCUCCCUAGGGACUGUACACACGUGCCACACAUUCAUGCAGGCAGGCAAAGCACCCAUACACAUAAAAUAAAAAUAUGUGAGCCUUAUCAAAUGGUUGACUCAUCCUUUUCUUACCCAUUUCUCAAGGAAUUGGACUGUACCCCUCGCUAAGCAUGUGCCAGAGUCCUAAAGCACAGGAUGUGACCUCAUUUUGGGAUCACUUUUAUCUUUUAAUAUUUAUUUAAUUUUUUGAGAAUUUCAGAUGUGCAUACUGUGGAUGUUGAUCAUAACCACAUCUUCUGCCCCUUCCCCAGCCUCUUCCACACUCACCCCUUACUCUCUCCCUCCUUCCAACUUCCUGCCUUCCUGAAAAAUGAAUCAACAAAUAAAUGGUUGAGUCCACUUUGUGCUUCACAUAUAUGCACGGGUGUGUGAUCAUCCGCUAGAGCAUGGUUGACUCACUGACCUACUAGAGGCUAUACCCCUCGUAGAAAACUGACUGGGUUUGUACAAUUCUAAUUUCAAAGUACAUAUUAAAAUAUCUAAUAAAAAUUGAAUUGAAAAAAAAAAGUCAGACUCGGAGCAAAACGGAAAAGUGGAGAAAACUCAAGCAAAACAGAAAGGUAAUUCUGCCUACAGUAACAACAUUUGAAAUCAUUUUCUGAUCUCCAUUUUCAGUAUUAUCAGGGUGACUCUGUAUCAUUUGACAAAGUGCAAUUGUUCGCGAGAGUAAAAUUAGCAAAACGAACUCUUUAUCCCCCAAGUAGAGUUACUGUUUCUUCCACUUGGUAAUUAUACUUGCUGAUAAGAAGGCAAUGUAACACAUGCCUGUAAUCUCUGCACACUAGAAGUGAAUUCAAUGCCAACCUGAGAGACAUAGUGAGGUCUGUUUCCAGUAAAACAAAGCCAAAAAAG